rnacentral:rRNA from 1 species
AUCAACGCUGGCGGCGUGCCUAACACAUGCAAGUCGAACGCGAAAGCUCCCUUCGGGGAGCCGGUAGAGUGGCGCACAGGGUGAGUAACACCGUGGGUAAUCUGCCUCGUGGUGGGGGAUAACGCCUCGAAAGAGGCGCUAAUACCGCAUACAGCUGCGCGCUCGCAUGAGAGCGCAGUGAAAGUGGGGGACCUUCGGGCCUCAACGCCAGGAGAGGAGCCCGCGCCCGAUUAGCUAGUUGGCGAGUGUAAGAGCUCACCAAGGCAGCGAUCGGUAGCCGGCCUGAGAGGGCGGUCGGCCCACACUGGCACUGAGACACGGGCCAGACUCCUACGGGAUGGCAGCAGUGGGUGAAUUUUGGGCAAUGGGCGAAAGCCUGACCACAGCAACGCCGCGUGAAGGACGAAAUCCCUUUGGGAUUGUAAACUUCGAAAGUUGGGGGACGAACACUCACGCAGGACAAUGGGCGUGAGGCUGGACGGUAACCCAACGUAAGCCCCGUGCUAACUACGUGCCAGCAGCCGCGGUAAUACGUAGUGGGCAAGCGUUGUUCGGAAUUACUGGGCGUAAAGGGCGCGUAGGCGGCAGGCCAAGUCGGGAGUGAAAGCCCGGGCUCAACUCCGGAAUGUCUUUCGAAACUGGCCAGCUCGAGUGCGGAAGAGGCAACUGGAAUUCCCAGUGUAGCGGUGAGAUGCGUAGAUAUUGGGAAGAACACCCUGAGGCGAAGGCGGGUUGCUGGGCCGACACUGACGCUGAGACGCGAAAGCCAGGGGAGCGAACGGGAUUAGAUACCCCGGUAGUCCUGGCCCUAAACGAUGGAUACUUGGUGUGUGGGGUUCUCUAAGUCCCCGCGUGCCGGAGUCAACGCGUUAAGUAUCCCGCCUGGGGAGUACGGUCGCAAGGCUGAAACUCAAAGGGAAUUGACGGGGACCCGCACAAGCGGUGGAGCUAUGUGGUUUAAUUCGACGCAACGCGAAGAACCUUACCUGGUGUUAAAUCCCGGACUGCGGCCCUGGAGACAGGGCGUCCCUUCGGGGGGUCUGGGAAGGUGCUGCAAUGGCUGUCGUCAGCUCGUGCCGUGAGGUGUUGGGUUAAGUCCCAGCAACGAGCGCAACCCCUUACCACUAGUUGCCAGCGGUUCGGCCGGGCACUCUAUUGGGACUGCCGGUGACAAACCCGGAGGAAGGUGGGGAUGACGUCAAGUUCAUCAUGGCCUUUAUGUCCAGGGCUACACACGUGCUACAAUGGCAGGAACAAAGCGCUGCAAACCUCGAGAGAGGGAGCCAAUCGCAAAAUCCUGUCACAGUUCGGAUUGGAGUCUGCAACUCGACUCCAUGAAGCUGGAAUCGCUAGUAAUCGCGGAUCAGCACGCCGCGGUGAAUACGUUCCCGGGUCUUGUACAACACCGCCCGUCACAUCACGAAAUUAGGGCUGUGCUAGAAGCGGCCGAGCUAACCCCCGCAAGGGGGAGGCAGGUCGCCACGGCAUGCUGUCCCGUGAUUGGGGUG